GGGAGGGGGGCGUGGCUGGCACCAGCUUCAAGGCAAUUUGGUUUUGUGGUGGAGGCCACAACUUCAAGGCAAUUUGGUUGUUUCAUUUACAUCUAGGGUGCGACGUGUCCUUUUUCCAGCCUCUAUAUGACACAUGGCAAUUUAUUUAGGCUACAAAUGACACAUGGCAUUAGUAUGCUUCGUUUCUCAUUCCCAAUCAUCAACCUUAAAAACGCAGACCCGUUUUACAAAUUUCAGGUCAAGUACGCGUUGGUUUAAAAGGCAUCUUAUAACCUGAAAUUGUUCAUUAUUCAACAUCGCAUUAGGGUUUCACCUUAUUCUCUCUCGCUUUCUUCUCCGCCGAUCAUUAAGAUCUUCAAAUUAAUCUUCAAAUCAAGGUUCUUCAAAUCAAGGUUAUUCAAAUCAAGGUUAUUCAAAUCAAGGUUACAAGGUUAGGUCACGGAUAUAUCAAUUAAUCAUGUUUUCUCCAUUAGGCGAAACCAUUCAAAUUUGAUUUUGAUUGUUUCCGUAUUUGUAUUCCUUCAUAUCUAGGGUUCUGCAUCUUGGAUCGAUUUUCUUUUCUGAUUCUGAUUCACAAAGAUACGAAUCCCUUCUUUAUGUAUUAUGAAGAUUUAUGGUUGAUAUUAUAUUAUUGUUUUUGGAUUCUGUAGAUUUCAAAAGAUCUAAACAUAUCAUAUUAAGUGGUCUUUGUGUUUUUAACGUCUUGGAGCACAAAUCUUUGAUUUUGUUCUAAUGGCUUCAUCACCAAGGUAUAAGAUCUAAGGUUUAUAUGUGUUGUUUGAUUUCUUAAAGGUUUGCUUAGAUUAUAUUUAUUUCAUUAUCGAAUACAUAAUAUUAUGUAUAAGGAACCAGAGUAUUUAGUAAACAUAUGUAUAACAACUCUCCUAAAAGUCUUAUAACACCCUAUACGCCCUAAAAUACAUCCCGUAUACAAAAAGUGGGCCCCAAAUACCUUAAUUU
rnacentral:lncRNA from 1 species